rnacentral:rRNA from 1 species
CCCUACGGGGCGCAGCAGUAGGGAAUUUUCGUCAAUGGGCGCAAGCCUGAACGAGCGAUGCCGCGUGAGUGAAGAAGGCCUUCGGGUCGUAAAGCCCUGUUGCGGGGGAAAAAAGGCAGCAUCAGGAAAUGGGUGCUGACUGAUGGUGCCCCGCCAGAAAGUCACGGCUAACUACGUGCCAGCAGCCGCGGUAAUACGUAGGUGGCGAGCGUUAUCCGGAAUGAUUGGGCGUAAAGGGUGCGCAGGCGGUCCUGCACGUCUGGAGUGAAACGAAUGAGCUCAACUCAAGCAUGGCUUUGGAAACU